CCAGGACGCGGGCUGGGGAGGGGGAGCGCAUAGCCGGGGGGGUCACUGCUGUUGUCCCCCAUCCAGAUCUCCUGAGGGUCCGGCAGGAGGUGGCAGCUGCAGCUCUGAGGGGCCCCAGUGGCCUGGAAGCCCACCUGCCCUCCUCCACGGCAGGUCAGCGUCGGAAGCAGGGCCUGGCUCAGCACCGGGAGGGCGCCGCCCCAGCUGCCGCCCCGUCCUUCUCGGAGAGGGAGCUGCCGCAGCCGCCCCCCUUGCUGUCGCCGCAGAAUGCCCCUCACAUCGCCCUGGGCCCCCAUCUCAGGUCCCCCUUCCUGGGGGUGCCCUCGGCUCUGUGCCAGACCCCAGGCUACGGCUUCCUGCCCCCCGCCCAGGCGGAGAUGUUCGCGCGGCAGCAGGAGCUCCUGCGGAAGCAGAACCUGGCCCGGUAGGUGCGGGGAGGCGGGCGGGGCCGCGCGGCCCGGGAGGCGGCUGACCCGCGUCUGCCCCCGGCCCAGGCUGGAGCUGCCCGCCGACCUCCUGCGGCAGAAGGAGCUGGAGGGCGCGCGCCCGCAGCUGCUGGCGCCCGAGGCCGCCCUGCGCCCCAACGACGGCGCCGAGGAGCUGCAGCGGCGCGGGGCCCUGCUGGUGCUGAACCACGGCGCGGCGCCACUGCUGGCCCUGCCCCCCCAGGGGCCCCCGGGCUCCGGACCCCCCACCCCGUCCCGGGACUCGGCCCGGCGAGCCCCCCGGAAAGGGGGUCCCGGCUCUGCCUCGGCCCGGCCCAGCGAGUCCAAGGAGAUGACGGGGGCUAGGCUCUGGGCACAAGAUGGCUCGGAAGACGAGCCCCCCAAAGACUCGGACGGAGAGGAUCCCGAGACGGCAGCUGCUGGGUGCAGGGGGCCCACUCCGGGCCAAGCUCCAGCUGGAGGGGCCGGCGCCGAGGGGAAGGGG
rnacentral:sRNA from 1 species